GACGAACGCUGGCGGCGUGCUUAACACAUGCAAGUCGAACGAAGUGGCGAACGGGGGAGUAACGCGUAAUCAACCUGCCAUUCAGAGGGGGACAACAGUUGGAAACGACUGCUACUACUGCAUACUGAAGGAGGGGCUUGCGUCUGAUGAGCUAGUUGGAGGGGUAACGGCCCACCCAGGCGAGGAUAAGUAGCCGGUGUGAUGGGAAUAGCGGCCACAUUGGGACAGAUACACGGUCCAGACUCCUACGGGAGCUAGCCGUGGGGAAUAUUUCGCAAUGUGGGCAAGCAUGAUCCAGCCAUGCCGCGUGUGUGAAGAAGGCGUACGGAUUGUAUUGCACUUUCUGCGGGAAGCGUUACCCGCAGAUGAAGCACCGGCAAACUCCGCGCGAGCAGCCGCGGUAAUAC
rnacentral:rRNA from 1 species